GAUGAACGCUGGCGACGUGCUUAACACAUGCAAGUCGAACGAAACACCUUAUUUGAUUUUCUUCGGAACUGAAGAUUUGGUGAUUGAGUGGCGGACGGGUGAGUAACGCGUGGGUAACCUGCCCUGUACAGGGGGAUAACAGUCAGAAAUGACUGCUAAUACCGCAUAAGACCACAGCACCGCAUGGUGCAGGGGUAAAAACUCCGGUGGUACAGGAUGGACCCGCGUCUGAUUAGCUGGUUGGUGAGGUAACGGCUCACCAAGGCGACGAUCAGUAGCCGGCUUGAGAGAGUGAACGGCCACAUUGGGACUGAGACACGGCCCAAACUCCUACGGGAGGCAGCAGUGGGGAAUAUUGCACAAUGGGGGAAACCCUGAUGCAGCGACGCCGCGUGAGUGAAGAAGUAUUUCGGUAUGUAAAGCUCUAUCAGCAGGGAAGAAAAUGACGGUACCUGACUAAGAAGCCCCGGCUAACUACGUG
rnacentral:rRNA from 1 species